UCAGAAAGUUAUUACACUUUUUGGAGAAAAACCACAAUGUUAUUGUACAUUCUAUGCUUGUCAUGGAAUUCCUGUAGCAUGUUCUCUGUUCAUAAAGUCAAUAGAUCUCCUUGUUUCUACUUCCAAUGCCAUCAUUUUUACUCCCUCUUAACCUGCUAUCUGUCCUAAUUUGAUGUGCCUCCACUCGGGAUAAAGGAUAUUUUCAAUAUAUUUGAGUUAAUGGAAUUAAAAUUGGCUCCAUAUAGCUCUUGGAGUAAUAUAACAUUAAAAAAUAAUGAAUAUGGAAGGGAAAAUUUCCUGUUAAAGGAAAGCAGAUACAUAUUUUUGCGAGAAACCGAAAAGUAAAACAAGACAACCUCUUCAUAAAGCAAAGGGAGUAUUCUAUUCUAUUAGAAGUAUAUUAGUACUUUAUUAUAUUGUAAAGCUUUUCUAAGACAGAGGAUAAGCCAUAGAGUAUUCAACUUAUAAUGCAUCUGGAUAUUAAAUUUCUCACUGCAUACACAUUCUAUGUGGUUAUGCUUCUAUUGAUCAAGCUGUUAUUUCAUCUUGACCAUCUAUAUAUAACUAUGCAUGUAAUUAAUAAUCAAACUAAGUAAUAGCAUUUGAUGCUACAGGUCAGCUUAGCAGCUAAUAGCUGUGUCACCAAGGAUAUUAGUGAACCUGGAGAUUAUGGCGGCUUUCCAGCUAUUUAUGUACGCGAUUGGCGAAGGCAAAUUGCUAUACAUCGUCGAGCCUUGAAGUAAGAAUUCUGUUUGGAUGCUAAUCUUAUCCAGAAACUCAAGAUUUGAACAAUUUAUGCAAGACUAUGCAUGCCAUUUGAUGUGCACCCGGAGGACCAUCUCAGGAACUAUUGAUUACUUAAAUCUUCAACACCUACUGUUGUUUGUUGAAUGAAAUACUUAAUAAAUGCAUCAUGAACUAAGACUCCAA